rnacentral:rRNA from 1 species
UACGGAGGGUGCAAGCGUUAUCCGGAUUCACUGGGUUUAAAGGGUGCGUAGGCGGAUAUGUAAGUCCGUGGUGAAAUCUCUGGGCUUAACCCGGAAACUGCCAUGGAUACUAUGUGUCUUGAAUGUUGUUGAGGUGAGCGGAAUUUGUCAUGUAGCGGUGAAAUGCUUAGAUAUGACAUAGAACACCAAUUGCGAAGGCAGCUCACUAAGCAAAUAUUGACGCUGAGGCACGAAAGCGUGGGGAUCAAACAGG